rnacentral:rRNA from 1 species
GACGAACCGCCCGAACGUUAUUCGGAAUUACUGGGCGUAAAGGGCGCGUAGGCGGCCACCGCAAGUCAAUUGUGAAAUCUCCGGGCUUAACUCGGAAAGGUCAACUGAUACUGCGGGGCUAGAGUGCGGAAGGGGCAACUGGAAUUCUCGGUGUAGCGGUGAAAUGCGUAGAUAUCGAGAGGAACACCUGCGGCGAAGGCGGGUUGCUGGGCCGACACUGACGCUGAUGCGCGAAAGCCAGGGGAGCGAACGGG